GAUGAACGCUGGCGGCGUGCUUAACACAUGCAAGUCGAACGGGAAACCUUUUAUUGAAGCUUCGGCAGAUUUAGCUGGUUUCUAGUGGCGGACGGGUGAGUAACGCGUGGGUAACCUGCCUUAUACAGGGGGAUAACAACCAGAAAUGGUUGCUAAUACCGCAUAAGCGCACAGGACCGCAUGGUCCGGUGUGAAAAACUCCGGUGGUAUAAGAUGGACCCGCGUUGGAUUAGCUAGUUGGCAGGGUAACGGCCUACCAAGGCGACGAUCCAUAGCCGGCCGGAGAGGGUGAACGGCCACAUUGGGACUGAGACACGGCCCAGACUCCUACGGGAGGCAGCAGUGGGGAAUAUUGCACAAUGGGGGAAACCCUGAUGCAGCGACGCCGCGUGAAGGAAGAAGUAUCUCGGUAUGUAAACUUCUAUCAGCAGGGAAGAUAGUGACGGUACCUGACUAAGAAGCCCCGGCUAACUACGUG
rnacentral:rRNA from 1 species